rnacentral:lncRNA from 1 species
GCAAUGCUCAUGGUUCAGGGUCAUUAGUAGGUAUAGCUAGUUCAGGAAAGAUUGGGGUCCUCUUCGUGUUAAUGAGUUUGAAGGUCCAUCUCAGGACCACUACUGUGUGGAAGUAUGACAGUGAGAAGUUGGGGGUCAGUUGAGUUUUGUGUUUUCCUGUCUUUGAAGGUAAUGGCCUUGAGACGUGAUUGCACAGGGGCCACGGUUCCCAUGAUGUCUAGCACUGGGCUCUGAUCAUUCCUGAGGACACAGUGCUCUCCAGGACCUUUGACACCUGGGGGUCUGAGGAACCCUGGUUUUGAUGGUCUGGACAUAUGAACUAUUUCUUCCACACCCUCAUCAAGUCCUUCCUAUGUUACAGGUCUAACUUCUAGCUGAGGGGUUACCCACCAUCAUCCCAUCUUGGUAAGAAGCCUUGCUCCAAUGCCCUGAUCCAUCCAGGUCUAAAAUACAAGAUGUCUUACAUAUGUGCCAGCAGUCUUACUCAGUAUUACAUAUUAAAACCAUUUUAUAUCCAUGGGAACCCAGUCAACUACUCAUACAUCCAGACCCUAGUUCUGCUGUUCCUUGGCUUAUAGAGGUCAGAGCAAUCCCUCUCCUAAGCUUCAGUUGCUGUAUUCAUAAGGUGGCUUCUCCAGCUGUCCUGCUGCCCAGCUUUCCCUCCUGGUAAGGGCGGAGGAGCUGCCUGUUGGUAGGGAGCACAGCUCAGCAUCCUGUACUUGUGAAGCAGUGGCUUCCUUAAUCUCCAUAGUAACCCUGUGCUGGGAGGGAAGGGAGGGCUGUGCUGAGCCUGGGUUGCUAUCCUAUCAGGGUUGAGCUUGGGGACCCCAUGAUAUUCAGCACUGGGCUCUGACUGCCCCUGAAGAUAUAGUGCCACCCAGGACCUUAGACACCUGGGGAUCUGAGGGCCCCCACUCCAGGGAGGUGCUGGGUGGGGGUGUGGCCCUUUCUACUUCACACAGCUUCUGCAGCAGUGCCCUUCCUGACCCUCUUGCUCUUCCCU